CGUUUCGUUGCCAGCUGUGAGGAUGAAGCAGCUUCAUAACCGGAAAUCAGUCGCCUCCCAUCAGUUUCCCUUUUCAGCAAUAGAGGUCUUGGGUGCCUUUCUACCGGUGUUGCAUCCUGUGACUGACCACUCCAACGAUCUCAGCAGAAUCGUUACGCAGGAAGAAGUCCGGCUGGCCCCAAGCCUGGUGUGAAAUGAAGAAAUGGCACUCCACAUCAAUUCAUGUUUACUUGUCGUCAUAACCAGUCUGUUAGCUUAAUUUUUGGUUCUUCCUAUUGAAUUCUCAAGAAAGGUACCAACUCUGUCAUUCAUUGAAAACGAAUUUUUGCACUUGGGGACGCAGCCAUGCACAAAGCCUUUUAGCUCAUUAAUAUUUUUAUUCUUAAUGAAAGUGCAGCUCCUGCGUGGAGCAAUGGGUUGAAUAAGACGAGGGUAAAUGAAAAGAUGGCGACAUUAAUUGUCAACAGUUGUCCAACAAAAAAAGUCUCAAGCUGGAGCCAACAUCAUUGCAAGGGAACCAAAUGGCUCCAGCCUGAGACAUUCGUUGUUCAACCUGGCAAGUCUCCUUGUCGAAAUAUUUCCUCUAGCCUGAGACCUAUAUCCACCCUCGACCAACAAUACACCCAUACAUUUGGCAACCCAUGGCAAGGUAACAAAUUCACAUUCAAAGAAAGAGAAUGUAGUGUGCACCCUGGAAGGUAGCAUGAACAGUAUUUUAUUUACUUAAUGAAAUGCAGGUUUGCUAUCCAACUACUUUAUUUCGAUCCCCAUUUUAUAACGACAGCAUGGUUCCUCAGAGAGAAUAUUUAUUCGAAGCUCACACAAUUUUGCUCCUGUAUGUCCGUUAAAUCUGCCCUGGUUGCUACACUACCAGGCCUGUCUGCAAUUGCAUAGCUGUGUUUUGAUUAUGCAUCCCAAUUCAAAAGAAUAGUUAGGCAUCUACCUCAGAAUGUCUGCUACUGCGUUGCAGCUUGAAUUCUAUAUCUAGGUGGUGACUGUGAUGCCAUGUGCUUUUUAAAUAAGACCAAUAUGCUAUGUGAAGUGCAAUUAAAUGCAAUCUCAAAUGACCUCAGCUCGGGGAAUGACACGAUUGGAAACCAAUGUGAUCAGGAGGAUUUGAUUUCUGAAAACAAGGCACUUAAAAAGGAGAAACCAGUACUAAUCUCGUCUAAAGAUGCUGUUAUUGGGUAUGAUAGGGGAGUUACUUGUUCGUGGCUGCAUUUGCAGCAUGUUACAUUGCUGGCUUUAUAUAUUGCACUGGGUACAGUGAAAUGUUGCUGCUUGCACAAUAUUCAACUAAACAUGGUAGCCAUGCUAAAGUGUCCAUGCAGAACACAACUCAUCCACUAUUAAGGACUGCAGUGGAACCUUCAUAAACGAAAAUCGCUUAAGCGAAACUGCCGCUUAAACAGGACACCAUCCUGAUGGUUGGUUGGCUCUC